UGAGAAAUUUGACCUGAUUACGGCCAGUUUGCACGCCUGUCCGUUCGACGAUUACCAGUUUGAUCCUGGCUCAGGAUGAACGCUAGGAAAGGCCUAACACAUGCAAGUCGAGGGGCAGCAUGAUCUUAGCUUGCUAAGGUUGAUGGCGACCGGCGCACGGGUGCGUAACGCGUAUGCAACUUGCCUUACAGAGGGGGAUAACCCGUUGAAAGACGGACUAAAACCGCAUACACUUGUAUUAUUGCAUGAUAUUACAAGGAAAUAUUUAUAGCUGUAAGAUAGGCAUGCGCCCCAUUAGCUGGUUGGUGAGGUAACGGCUCACCAAGGCGACGAUGGGUAGGGGAACUGAGAGGUUUAUCCCCCACACUGGUACUGAGACAUGGACCAGACUCCUACGGGAGGCAGCAGUGAGGAAUAUUGGUCAAUGGGCGAGAGCCUGAACCAGCCAAGUCGCGUGAAGGAAGACAGUCCUAAGGAUUGUAAACUUCUUUUAUACGGGAAUAACGGGCGAUACGAGUAUUGCAUUGAAUGUACCGUAAGAAUAAGCAUCGGCUAACUCCGUGCCAGCAGCCGCGGUAAUACGGAGGAUGCGAGCGUUAUCCGGAUUUAUUGGGUUUAAAGGGUGCGUAGGUUGUUCGGUAAGUCAGCGGUGAAACCUGAGCGCUCAACGUCCAGCCUGCCGUUGAAACUGCCGGGCUUGAGUUCAGUGGCGGCAGGGGGAAUUCGUGGUGUAGCGGUGAAAUGCAUAGAUAUCACGAGGAACUCCGAUUGCGAAGGCAGCUUGCCAUACUGCGACUGAUACUGAAGCACGAAGGCG
rnacentral:rRNA from 1 species